GGACAGAGGGGCAGACUGGCAGACGGACAAGCACGAGGAUGGACGGGCGGACAGAGAGGCAGACGGACAAGCACGAGGAUGGACGGGCGGACAGAGAGGCAGACAGGUAGGAGGACAAGCACGAGGAUGGACGGGCGGACAGAGAGGCAGACAGGUAGGAGGACAAGCACGAGGAUGGACGGGCGGACAGAGAGGCAGACAGGUAGGAGGACAAGCACGAGGAUGGACGGGCGGACAGAGAGGCAGACAGGUAGGCGGACAAGCACGAGGAUGGACGGGAGGACAGAGGCAGACAGGUAGGAGGACAAGCACGAGGAUGGACGGGCGGAC